CCUACGGGAGGCAGCAGUGGGGAAUUUUGGACAAUGGGCGCAAGCCUGAUCCAGCAAUGCCGCAUGCAGGAUGAAGGCCUUCGGGUUGUAAACUGCUUUUGUACGGAACGAAACGGUUCGCUUUAAUACAGUGAGCUAAUGACGGUACCGUAAGAAUAAGCACCGGCUAACUACGUGCCAGCAGCCGCGGUAAUACGUAGGGUGCGAGCGUUAAUCGGAAUUACUGGGCGUAAAGCGUGCGCAGGCGGUGAUGUAAGACAGAUGUGAAAUCCCCGGGCUCAACCUGGGACCUGCAUUUGUGACUGCAUCGCUAGAGUACGGUAGAGGGGGAUGGAAUUCCGCGUGUAGCAGUGAAAUGCGUAGAUAUGCGGAGGAACACCGAUGGCGAAGGCAAUCCCCUGGACCUGUACUGACGCUCAUGCACGAAAGCGUGGGGAGCAAACAGGAUUAGAUACCCUGGUAGUCCACGCCCUAAACGAUGUACACGUGGUUGUUGGUCUCACUGACUCAGUAACGAGCUACGNGUAGAGUUCGACCGCGUGGGACGUCGGCCGNGAGGUUACGAACGUACGAAAGGUAGUUAGGACGGACGUUAGAGACGCGCGACGGACGACGACGGAGGGAGGAGG
rnacentral:rRNA from 1 species